rnacentral:rRNA from 1 species
CUACGGGAGGCAGCAGCAGGGAAUAUUGUGCAAUGAACGAAAGUUUGACACAGCGACACCGCGUGUGGGAUGACGGAUCUAGGUUUGUAAACCACUUUCAGGAGGGAAGAAAAUGACGGUACCUCCAUAAGAAGCCCCGGCCAACUACGUGCCAGCAGCCGCGGUAAUACGUAGGGGGCGAGCGUUGUCCGGAUUUAUUGGGCGUAAAGAGCUCGUAGGCGGUUCAACAAGUCGGUCGUGAAAGUUCAGGGCUCAACCCUGAAAUGUCGAUCGAUACUGUUGUGACUAGGAUACGGUAGAGGUGAGUGGAAUUCCGAGUGUAGCGGUGAAAUGCGUAGAUAUUCGGAGGAACACCAAUUGCGAAGGCAGCUCACUGGGCCGCUAUCGACGCUGAGGAGCGAAAGCUAGGGGAGCAAACAGGAUUAGAUACCCUGGUAGUCCUAGCUGUAAACGAUGGAUACUAGACGUAGGAACUGGAUUGACGGUUUCUGUGUCGCAGCUAACGCGUUAAGUAUCCCGCCUGGGGAGUACGGUCGCAAGACUAAAACUCAAAU